UACGUAGGGUGCGAGCGUUGUCCGGAAUUAUUGGGCGUAAAGAGCUCGUAGGCGGUUUGUCGCGUCGGCCGUGAAAACUUGGGGCUUAACCCCGAGCCUGCGGUCGAUACGGGCAGACUUGAGUUCGGCAGGGGAGACUGGAAUUCCUGGUGUAGCGGUGAAAUGCGCAGAUAUCAGGAGGAACACCGGUGGCGAAGGCGGGUCACUGGCCCGGUACUGACGCUGAGGUGCGAAAGCGUGGGGAGCAAACAGG
rnacentral:rRNA from 1 species